rnacentral:snRNA from 1 species
ACUAUCCAACAAGAAUCUCUACA